rnacentral:rRNA from 1 species
GAUGAACGCUGGCGGCGUGCCUAAUACAUGCAAGUCGAGCGAACAGACGAGGAGCUUGCUCCUCUGACGUUAGCGGCGGACGGGUGAGUAACACGUGGAUAACCUACCUAUAAGACUGGGAUAACUUCGGGAAACCGGAGCUAAUACCGGAUAAUAUAUUGAACCGCAUGGUUCAAUAGUGAAAGACGGUUUUGCUGUCACUUAUAGAUGGAUCCGCGCCGCAUUAGCUAGUUGGUAAGGUAACGGCUUACCAAGGCAACGAUGCGUAGCCGACCUGAGAGGGUGAUCGGCCACACUGGAACUGAGACACGGUCCAGACUCCUACGGGAGGCAGCAGUAGGGAAUCUUCCGCAAUGGGCGAAAGCCUGACGGAGCAACGCCGCGUGAGUGAUGAGGGUCUUCGGAUCGUAAAACUCUGUUAUUAGGGAAGAACAAAUGUGUAAGUAACUAUGCACGUCUUGACGGUACCUAAUCAGAAAGCCACGGCUAACUACGUA